CUCGUAGGCGGUUUGUCACGUCGUCUGUGAAGUCCUAGGGCUUAACCCUGGACGUGCAGGCGAUACGGGCUGACUUGAGUACUACAGGGGAGACUGGAAUUUCUGGUGUAGCGGUGGAAUGCACAGAUAUCAGGAAGAACACCGAUGGCGAAGGCAGGUCUCUGGGUAGUAACUGACGCUGAGGAGCGAAAGCAUGGGUAGCGAACA
rnacentral:rRNA from 1 species